AUGUCUCGAAUAAAUUACGGUAUCAUUACCCUGAUCCCCAAAGUUUUUGGGGCGGUGGACAUUAGGCAAUUCAGGCCCAUCACGGUGAUCAAUGUGUUGGAACGAAUCUUCUCCAAAGUCGGUGCGGCCAGACUAGCUAAUGUAGCUGAUCGUCUAGAUCAUCCUCUACAAACCGCUAUAUUGAAGGGUCGACAGAUUCAUGAUGGGAUCUUGGCCCUUCAUGAAAUUGUUCACGAGAUGAGGUCGCACGGACAUAAGGGAGUGUUCCUUAAGUUGGACUUUCAGAAGUCCUAUGACCAGCUAGACUGGUCCUUCUUGCGGCUAGUCCUU
rnacentral:rRNA from 1 species